GACGAACGCUGGCGGCGUGCCUAAUACAUGCAAGUCGAACGAGAGCGACCGGUGCUUGCACUGGUCAAUCUAGUGGCGAACGGGUGAGUAACACGUGGGUAACCUGCCCAUCAGAGGGGGAUAACAUUCGGAAACGGAUGCUAAAACCGCAUAGGUCUUCGAACCGCAUGGUUUGAAGAGGAAAAGAGGCGCAAGCUUCUGCUGAUGGAUGGACCCGCGGUGCAUUAGCUAGUUGGUGAGGUAACGGCUCACCAAGGCCGUGAUGCAUAGCCGACCUGAGAGGGUGAUCGGCCACAUUGGGACUGAGACACGGCCCAAACUCCUACGGGAGGCAGCAGUAGGGAAUCUUCCGCAAUGGACGCAAGUCUGACGGAGCAACGCCGCGUGAGUGAAGAAGGUUUUCGGAUCGUAAAACUCUGUUGUUAGAGAAGAACAAGUGCUAGAGUAACUGUUAGCGCCUUGACGGUAUCUAACCAGAAAGCCACGGCUAACUACGUGCCAGCAGCCGCGGUAAUACGUAGGCGGCAAGCGUUGUCCGGAUUUAUUGGGCGUAAAGCGAGCGCAGGCGGUUCCUUAAGUCUGAUGUGAAAGCCCCCGGCUCAACCGGGGAGGGUCAUUGGAAACUGGGGAACUUGAGUGCAGAAGAGGAGAGUGGAAUUCCAUGUGUAGCGGUGAAAUGCGUAGAUAUAUGGAGGAACACCAGUGGCGAAGGCGACUCUCUGGUCUGUAACUGACGCUGAGGCUCGAAAGCGUGGGUAGCAAACAGG
rnacentral:rRNA from 1 species